rnacentral:misc_RNA from 1 species
AAUUCUCAACCAAUCUUCCUUUCGGGGUUGUGAGGUUGGAUCGUGGGGGGUUUUGCUGGCAGCCUUUUCUUGCCAGCUCCUCUGAAAUGCAUUAGCAAAAGGGAAGCCCGUCUGUCUCGAUAAAGGCUUUUGUCGGUGUGAUAAUGAUCGCCGUAGAUGGCUUGAAGGGAUGGGGCUUCGUUUGAUGCUUACAGCUUUGAAUGGAUUGUUGUGGUGAUCACGACGAUGCCAUCUUUUGACU